AGCAGCCAUAAUGUGUGUGGCUGUUGCUUCCCAAAAGCUCUUGUAGUCUAAAAGGAUCAAGACUCACAAUUUUCAGGAUGGUUGCCAUUCUGUUUGUUGUAACUGAUCUGCAAUAUUUUGGGAAAGGCAAAA